rnacentral:piRNA from 1 species
UGAGAACGGACAGACUGCCUCCUCAAG